UAUCCGUAGGUGAACCUGCGGAGGGAUCAUUACGACAACGCCCGGGCUCCGGGCUGGUUAUUCAUAACACUUUGUGGUCCGACUCUGUUGCCUCCGGAGCGACCCUGCCUUCGGGUGGGGGCUCCGACUGGACACUCCAAACUAUUGCGUAACUUUGCAGGCUGAGUAAACUUAAUUAAUAUAUUAAAACUUUUAACAACGGAUCUCUUGGUUCUG
rnacentral:misc_RNA from 1 species